CUUUAAUGGAGAGUUUGAUCCUGGCUCAGGACGAACGCUGGCGGCGUGCCUAAUACAUGCAAGUCGAGCGGGGUUAUGUAGAAGCUUGCUUCUACAUAACCUAGCGGCGGACGGGUGAGUAACACGUAGGCAACCUGCCCACAAGACAGGGAUAACUACCGGAAACGGUAGCUAAUACUCGAUACAUCCUUUUCCUGCAUGGGAGAGGGAGGAAAGACGGAGCAAU
rnacentral:rRNA from 1 species